rnacentral:rRNA from 1 species
CCUACGGGGGGCAGCAGUGGGGGAUAUUGCACAAUGGGGGGAACCCUGAUGCAGCGACGCCGCGUGGGUGAAGGAGUGCUUCGGCAUGUAAAGCCCUAUCGGCAGGGAAGAAGCAAGACGGUACCUGACUAAGAAGCCCCGGCUAACUACGUGCCAGCAGCCGCGGUAAUACGUAGGGGGCGAGCGUUAUCCGGAUUCACUGGGGGUAAAGGGAGCGUAGACGGCCAUGCAAGCCAGGGGGGAAAGCCCGGGGCCCAACCCCGGGACUGCCCUUGGAACUGGGCGGCUAGAGUGCGGGAGGGGCAGGCGGAAUUCCUGGUGUAGCGGUGAAAUGCGUAGAUAUCAGGAGGAACACCGGCGGCGAAGGCGGCCUGCUGGACUGCGACUGACGUUGAGGCUCGAAAGCGUGGGGAGCGAACAGGAUUAGAUACCCGGGUAGUC